CUUCUUUUCCCAUAGAAGAAGGCUAAAAGUGACUUCGUGUCCCAGGCACCCCCGGCUCAAUAACCUCUGAAAGAGCUGCCAGACAGAAGAAAAGCUGCUGUGUGGUUACUGCUGCUAAGAGAUUUGAAAAUAUAGCAGUCCUGGUGCUUUACCCUCCUGCCGUGACCGAGACUUCUACUGAAUGGACCAACAGCACUUUAGCUGCAGGACAAGUCCCAGCAUUGCUGAGCUGCUUCUUUUCUAUUCAGCUGUUGAAAGAAGGAAAGUUUUUCUCCAGAUUGCAGGAAGGUGUUUCUUCUAGAACAUCAUGUUCUCCAUGUCUGGGAGUGCGACAUUAGCUUGGAUUCAUAAUGAGCUAAUUUGUCUUACAUUCUCAUUUACUUAUCGAAGGCUCCUUAAGGUUCAAAUUAGCAGGUUAAAUUGACUGUUUCUCAUCUCAGUGCAGAGGGCAGUCUGUCACUGUGUUACAUCUGCAGCCAAGGUUGAUUUGACACUGGAGUCAAAUAAUGUUAAAAAAAAAAAUAAAA